rnacentral:lncRNA from 14 species
UGCCGGCGCGGCAGCCGGAGGAACAAAGGCGCACGGCGCAGGUUCCAGUGAAUAGUGAAAUUAUAACGUCAGUCAACAUCAAAGAGAAAAAGCUUGUCAAGCCUAAGAAGAAGAGGAAAGCCCAGUGCUCAGAUAGGAAGGUGCCAAAAGACCUGCUUUUUGUGGAAAAAGACAAACUGCAAGAGGAGGAAGGAGUUUGGCAGACCAAGAUCAGCAGCCGAGAAAAGAGACACUUAAGGAAGGAAAGGCUGAAACAAAAAGAAGACCCCAGCAGAGCAUCUCUGGGUAGCUUGGUGGUUGAGCAAGCCU